rnacentral:lncRNA from 10 species
AGGGAGGCUACCGAUGAUCCUAGUUGCCUUAGUUCUUGGGCCUUAAUCCAUGGAGCUGAGUUAUCUGCCCUUUAUUCAAGUUCAUUUAUGUGACCAUUUCCCCAGAUUCAUGCCCUCUAAACAGAAGAUUUCUUGGCAGGAAGUUGGUUUGAGCCCAAAAGGUGGGACUGAAAAUCAGAUGGCUAAGGGUGCAGAUGCAUUUUUUUUUAAUAGAAAAGGAGUGAAGAAUUGAAAUGAUAAUCCACUCCAUCAUACUGUGCUACAAAGUUUGGACUUUAUAUAGAAAAUGAAGAGUUACCAAAGGUCAAAUCGAAAAACCAUGUGAAGAUGCCAUGGCCUUUUUUUUCUCCAGAGCUACCAGUCACACUUCCUAAAUCUUCAUACCCAAGGAGGGUGACCUUCACAGACUACAUGGUUCUCCAGCCGAAUAUAUGCACUUUCCCGCUGGAUCCACCAAACAAAUAAAUAAUGGUAAAGCAAGAAAAUUCAAUAUCUUAACUACAAUAAAGUCAUCCUGAAUAGGUACAAUAGAAUAGGCCCAGCAACCCAGACAAAAUGCUUCGUUCCCCUUUUCUGUUUUGUAUUUUAAGUCUGUGCAUGAAAAAAAGACUUCAUGCUUAUAUGAAAAAGGAUUCUCCUGAUUUAGUGACAGUAGGACCUGUAUUUUUGGUGUCUUCCACACACUCUGAUUCAGGUUGUCUUUAUGUAACAAGCAUUUACUCUGAACCUACUAAGAACCUGGCACCACGUUGAGUGCUUAAUGAACAGUUCUUGCUUUUAACAGCUCACAUCUAGUAUAGCAACAGCUGAAGUAGCAGGUAGAUAUAAUGUGAUAUUGUGAGUGCUGAACUAAAGAGAUACAGGUACAAAUAGUUUUAAAAAUGCUAAAGAAAUUGAAUGAGUCAAGAUUGGGUUCACAUGCAAAUGAUAGAAAAUAUAAGUUUAGUUCUUUCCACAUAGACAAUUUUUGGUAGUAGGCAGUCCAAGCUGCCCACUGUCUCCACAGUCACCAGGAACUCAGCUUCCUGCUAUCUAGAUACUCUGCUGUCAUCAACACUUGACUUCCACCUCAUGGCUAUUCAAGCAUCAGCCACCAAAUCAAUAAUCUAGCAAGCAGAAAGAGGAAAGGAGUGAAGAAUGCCAUGCUCUCCUCUCUUUAAGGACACUUCUAGAAGCACAGCACUUCUGACUACAUCCUGUUCACCAAACCUUGACCAUACGACUGGCCAUACCUGGCAGCAAGAGAGGCUGAUACAGUCUUUAUUCUGGAAAGCCAUAUGCUGGCUGCAAACUGGAAGUUCAUUAACUGAGUAAUAAGAGAGGUCAGUUAUUAGAAGAUAAUGGACUUUUUCUGCCUCAGGAUUUCAGGCCCGGGAGAAAAAAUUUUAUCUGGAAAGGAAGAGCAUGUCUGGAAGGCUUCCUGGAGGUGACAUUUAGUCUGGGUUUCUGAGGAAGGGAAGGAGUAUAUCGAAUAAAAAAUCAAAGGAGGCACUAUACAGGCAAAGGGAGCAGUACCAGAGUUGGCACUCAGAAACAGCUAGCCUGAGUAUGAAAUGUAAUCAGUCACAAUAGAUCCAUUUUAUGCUGAGUGAGAAUCUAAAGGAAAUAUUUCACAAUGUUCUCAAUAUCUGAGCAAUUUUGUCUAAUCACAUGCAUCUAGCUGCUAAAGACUAAAUUAUCACAUCAUGCUCACAGAAGUGAAACAUAAUUAGAAAAUAUAUUUAUUGAAAUCAUUGUCCAUGUACAUUAAAUUGGAUAAUCACUUGUUAAAUUAGGAAAGAUAUUCAGAAAGUUAAUUAAUCUUGGAUUUCGGUUAUGACAUGUAGCAAGUGUGAAACAACCAUCUCUAAGGCCAUUUACACACAUGUUCAUUUAUUAAUAGGCAUCACAAUAGCAUAACAUCUUGCUUAAAACAAAGAAACAAUUAGUCCUGAAACAGAAAAGCACACAACACAGAACAGGCAGGAUAGCAUAGUGAUAGUAAUAACAACAGCACACACUUAGCAAAUACUUGCUACGUGCCAGGUAUUCUUCUAAGCACUUGGCACAUAUGAACUUCCUUAAUCUUCACAACACUGCGAGCUAGGUUUCUAUCACUGUCUCCAUUUUUACUGAGGAGGAACUGAGGCUCGGAGAGGUUAAGUAACUUGCUCAAAGUCCCUUGGCUGAUAUAUAGGGACACACAAACACAAACCCAUGCAGCCCAGAUCCUUAACCACUCUACUAGGUCAUAAAAGGAAGAGGGUUAUGGGAUAGAUCCCACCUCUAUGACUAACUAGCAAUGAGACUCUUGGGUAAGUUAUUUCACCCCUCUUUGUCUUAGUUUCUUUGUUACUGUGACUGAAUAAGAGGCUGCAUGUAAAAGUUGUCUCCUGGGGCCUGGCACAAAGUAAGUGCUCAGUAGUUAAAAGGGCCUGGCAUGGCGGCUUGUACUUGUAAUCUCAACUACACGGGAGGCUAAGGCAGGAAGAAUCACUUGAGGCCAGGAGUUUGAGAUCACUCUGGGCAACAUACUGAGACCCCCUACUUAAAUUUUUUUUAAAAAUGGCUGAAAGGUUUAAUGAGAUCGAGUUAUUAAUUAUAAAGACUAGCCAAUAUUUGGUCCUUAAAUACACUAACAAAAAGGCAGACCAAAAACUAUUUCUGACACGCUGUUAAAUUCUCUUUCAAAAGAAUAAAAUCUCUCUUUCUUCUACCCAUUUACCCCAGUCCCCUGAGGUCUGUCUCUCUGCUGGUUCUUGAGUUUGAGCUGCUUUUUACAGCCAUCUGUUACAGUGUUGUGUAACAACAAACAAUAUCCUCCUAAAAAUGUUUACAAAUGCUUCUUACAUUAGGGCUGUAUAUUUUUUCAUUAUGCUGUGGCAUCUCCAUUGAAAAAUUAUUUUAAUCAUUGCAAACUGAAUUACACAAGGAUAAUGCAUAAAGAGAUAGUACUUAAAAGGCUGAAUGUACAUUAAUUGCUUCAGCUAAUGAAAGAAACAUGACUUAGCCAAUGCACACAACAUGAAUCCUAAGAUGCAUGGACAAUUGACUACGGUAAUAAAACAAGUAUUAGUGUGUUAAAUCUGAAAUCCUCAUUAUGCUUCAUGCAGCAAAACCGACUGUGUACCUGCUGUUCAGUGUGCAUUUCCUCCUCUUGACACCAAGAGCUAAUUAUAGAACAAGGCACAGAGUGAAAGCAUGUGACCUACGUUUGGGGACCUUCAACAACACUGCAAAGUUAUGUUUGGUGACUUCUUAUUUUCUUUUUAAGCUGAUAAAAUAUGUGUUGGCCUAAAUGAUUUUGGAAUAUCUUGAUGUUCUGUAGGCAAUUUUAAUUAAAAUAUGAAUUAUUUAUAUAUGCACACAGUUUAUUUCACUUACAUUGGGAUCUUGCUUUAUCUCCCUUGGCUCUAUCAAUUAGUAAAUUGUUAAUGCAGGGAUAAUUUAUGUCACAGUGUUCAAGAUGCUGGCCAUUGAUUUCUUUGCCUGUCUUUCAUUUCACGAACCCAAAGUAAAGAUGAUGAUAAAAUCAUGGCAUUUAAGAGAUAAGAAGAGAAGUAAAUGUCUUCUUAUUGCUGCUUAUCUAGAAUCACAUGGCAUAAAUGUUAUAGUAAGUUAUAAACAGACUGCAUUAACCUACCACCUUCCAUUUAUAGAGUAAAAAUAUCAUGUUAUUAGGAACCUCACAAAAAGCUGAUAUACUUUAAACCACCACCCCCAUUUUUGAGAAACUUUGAGGGCACUACCAAUAUACUUCAAGGGAUAUGAACAGUUGGCUUAAUUCAAAGUAACUGCUUGAUAUGGUUUGGCUUUGUGUCCCCACCCAAAUCUCAUAUUGAAUUGUAAUCCCAUAAUCCCCACGUGUUGUGGGAGGGACCCAGUGGGAGGUGAUUGAAUCAUGGGGGUGGUUUCCCCCAUGCUGUUCUCGUGAUAGUGAGUGAUUUCUCAAGAAAUCUAUGGUUUUAUAAGCAUCUGGCAUUUCCCCUGCUUGGGUUCAUUUUCUCUCCUGCUGCCCUGUGAAGCAGUGCCUUCCACCAUAAUUGUAAGUUUCUUGAGGCCUCCCUGGCCGUGUGGAACUUUCAGUCGAUUAAACCUCUUUUCUUUAUAAAU